AGUAGUAGACAUGACAACCAGCAUCUUAUCUCAGCAAGGCAGCAGGCUGGGCUGGUACCAGGUCUGUCUGGGCGUCCACACUGAUGCUCUCACCUGAGACGGCAGGCUUAGGUCAGACCUCCCGAACGUAGUCCUACACCCACCAGAAAAAGCCACUUUCUCAUCAUUUACCUCUCUUGCAUGUCUAAGUGUUCCACUGACACUUCUGAGGAAUUCUCUUUGAAAAAGUUAUCACACAGAUGCCGCUGUUUAACCCUGAAGUGUAUCAAGCUCGGAAGUACAUUUUAUUGGGAGCCUGUAACCAACUGGCUAAUGCAUGUCUACGCUGGCUCUCAUUGGGGGAGCUCUUAUAGAACUAGGGUAGACAGUCUGUUUUCAAGAAGACACUUCAUAUCAAGCCUGCCCGUCACCAUGGCACCUGUGAAACCCCCUGCAAUGUCAGCAUCCGCAUCAGUGUCUCUCCGGUGGGAUGAUCAGAUGACCACGUCAGGAGUACGGGGUGCAGGGAAAGGAUGGAAGUUCCCCGCAGACUGAUCUCGGAAUACUUAUCUGAAAAUGCUUCCAGAUCAAUUUGGAUUUCUUCCCAACUCUCCAUUCUAAUGGCUUCACCGUGCUAUGCUCAGGCCCAUGUUUCUAUAUCAUUCUGACUUUGCCUGGGCAUUUGAUGCCAUGUUCUUUUGAAGGAGACUUAGGGUCAUUCAUAAUAUCAUUCCGAGAGCCAAGGUUCAUUUUCAGCUGCACAGAUUUCAGGAACUGUUUCGUACAUUCAGCUCUCCUUCUGAAGAAGCUAUGUCCACCAUUUAUUAAGCUUUUUUUCCUUCAGUAAGCAUAUUGUUUUACUUCAAGUCUUACUGGAUUUGCUACUAGUCAUUUUGUGGUUUUGGUUGCCUAUCUGCACCUCUUUCUCCAAUUUGUAUUUUAACUCAUUGUUGGUAAGAAAGCUGAUUGAUUUUUUUAUACUUGGCAAUUUGGAAAUUUACUGAACUCUUUAAUUGUCGUUUGGCUAGUUCACUUGAGUUCAAAGCACACUAUAACAGGUCAGGUGUUGGUGGCAGUGGCACACGCCUUUAAUCUCAGCACCCAGGAGGCAAAGGCAGGCAUAUUCCUGAGAGUGUGAGGCCAGCCUGGUCUACAGGGUGAGCUCCAGCCUGGAUUACACAUCCAGGACUACACAGAGAAACCUUGCGUAGAAAAACCAGAACCAACCAAACCAAACGAAACAGAACACCAUGUAAUAAAACUUAUCCUCUAUUCAACUUGUAUGUUGAGAAAGUCUGACAUCCCACGCAUUACCCUUGACCAGGCUGCAUUUACUUUUCAUUAUUGCCCUCGUCCUGUGGCAUACUUUCUAUUCCUGUGAACUCUGACACCUGGGUCCUUCAGGGUUGUUUGGGUGUUAGCUCAUCACCCCGUAACCUCCACUGCCACCUCACAGGAAUCACUUCUGUCAUUUACAACAGCAGGGACUGGCUGGAGACCUUUCUGCUAAGGAAGACAAAUAUCACAAUACUUAACUCAGGUGGAGUCUAAAAAGUGAAUCAAACAACCUGAGAGAACAGUGGCGGCUACCAGAGCUUGGAGAGAACAGGGGAGAGGGAGGGCGAAGGUUGGUGAUCCAUCUGUAUGAAGUUACAGAUAGGGGCAAGAAGUUCUGGCGUCCUAAUGUAAUAGUAGAGUGACUGCAGAUAUAAAUACACUUCAUAUUCAAAUCUGAAAAAUUCUAAAUGUUUAAGGAUACAGCUAUGUAUUUUUUUAAGGUUUCCUUACGUUAUGUGUUUGAGUGUGUGCCUGCCAAGUAUGUCCUGUGUACAGCAUUAGCAUAGUGCCCAAAGAGGCCAGAGGAGGGUGUCAGCAUUACAGAGGGUUGUGAGCCACCGUGUGAGUGCUGGGGCUCAAACCCAGGUCCUCUGCAAAAGCAGCCAGCGUUCUUAACCACCGAGCUGUUUCUCCAUUCCUAGAUUCACUGUGUUCAACCUGAUUGAAGUAGUAUACAAAGUAUAUGUAUAUUGAAAUAUUACAUGGUAUCCUGCCGUAGAUGUA